GGAUGAAGAGGCAGAAGUAAAUGUCAAGAUAAAGAAGGCUUUUUGUCCACCAAAGGUUGUAGAAAAGAAUCCAUGUCUGGAGUACGUCAAGUAUAUCGUCCUCCCUUGGUUUAAUGAGUUUAAAAUUGAGCGAAGUGCUGAGAAUGGUGGUGACAGGACCUACACAAAAUUUGAAGAAUUAGCUGCUGACUAUGAAAGUGGGAGUUUGCAUCCUGCAGACCUGAAACCUGCACUAUCAAAAGCAGUCAAUAAGAUAUUACAGCCGGUGCGUGAUCAUUUUAAGAACGACCAGAAAGCCAAAGACCUUAUGAAAAGAGUGAAGAGCUACAAGGUAACUAGGUGAGCUCUAGUUGAAUGAGGUGUAAAUGGAUUGAGAGAUGACAGUCUGGAAGUUCCACUCCAUUUCUUGUCCGCUUUAGUAACUUGGUUUCAAAAAAAAUUUAAACACCAUUUUUGAUAUAUUAUUGUGUUAUUGAAAUGCCCGAAUCACAUUUGUUUAAAUUUUAUCAACUGUAAUUUCACCUACAUGGUGAUUUCCAGAUAGUAUUUUUAUUCCUCUCCAAAGUCUGGCAUAUAUCAUCCAUUUGAUUGUACCUAAUCAUAUAUGAUGAUCUGCAUUGUGUUUUAACUAUGUCUUCUUUAUCGGACAAAAUUUGAAGAAGAAAAAAGAAUGUAUUCGCUAGACCUCCUCUAGUUUUAUGGGUAUAUUUUGUGU
rnacentral:misc_RNA from 1 species